ensembl:lncRNA
GAUCUCCUGGAGGCCACUCCUUAAACACGUCAGUGCUCCAUUUUAAAGCAGAGAGUCGAGGAUCAAGGAUUGUCAGAAAACAGAAUGCAACCUACAAUGAACCAGCCAGACACCAAAUGUGUCUUGGCAAUAUUUGUGGCUGCGUCGAGUACUCUUUGUGUAGCAGCAUGCCCAGAGAACCAUUUCCAAGUUCAAAAAAUGCUGUGCUGCUUGAACUGCCAAUAUGGUGAGUAUGUUGCCCGCAACUGCUCUGAAGGGCCCAGAGGCCACAUUGGUGUGCUAUGUAAUACAUGCCGCAGAUGUGAAGAAAUUGGAGAGGUAACUGUUUCCAAUUGCACACAGUUUUCAGACACACAGUGUGCCAGCAUACACACGCAACAGAUAACCAUGCAUGGUUGCUCGUCUGUGAUAGCCGCUGUUGUCAUUCUGGGUGUGAUUCUGGCAGCCUGCUUCUUUCGCAGAAUCAGUAAAUCUGGUGAAUCUGAUGGAGGCUCUGCAGGCCGGGGUAUACUCCCGAUACUCCACUCUACUCCCCCAUCCGAUCAUUGCAGCCACGGUGUGCCUAAAUAGCGGACUGCUCUCGCGUCUUGUACAGUGUAUGGCAAAAACACAUAAACGAAGGUCUACAUUUCACUGUCUCUUCAUAUUAAACUGGUUAAAUGUAAAUAAAUGUAAUUGUACCCUGCGAUACA